GUCGGUCAUGUUCGACACAUGCUCAUUUCCAAUCCCGACGAUGAAGUUGACUUCCGUGUUGAGGAAAGCACUCAGGACAUUCUGGUCUGCGUCGUAGAGCUUUACUCUACUGACAUUGAGGGAUUGGAGUAGGCUAACCACGCGAUUAGGCGACGGGAGGUUGUUCGCAAUCUGCCCAUAGUUGAUACCAAUUUGGAGGCCAGCAUUUUGCUGUAAUU
rnacentral:misc_RNA from 1 species